rnacentral:rRNA from 1 species
UGCGCAGGCGGGCUUGUAAGUCAGUGGCGAAAUACUGCCGCUCAACGGUAGAACUGCCAUUGAUACUGCAAGUCUUGAAUAUGGUUGAGGUAGGCGGAAUGUGUCGUGUAGCGGUGAAAUGCAUAGAUAUGACACAGAACGCCAAUUGCGAAGGCAGCUUACUAAGCCAUUAUUGACGCUGAGGCACGAAAGCGUGGGGAGCGAACAGGAUUAGAUACCCUGGUAGUCC